AUACGUAGGGUGCAAGCGUUAAUCGGAAUUACUGGGCGUAAAGCGUGCGCAGGCGGUUUUGUAAGACAGUGGUGAAAUCCCCGGGCUCAACCUGGGAACUGCCAUUGUGACUGCAAGGCUGGAGUGCGGCAGAGGGGGAUGGAAUUCCGCGUGUAGCAGUGAAAUGCGUAGAUAUGCGGAGGAACACCGAUGGCGAAGGCAAGCCCCUGGGCCUGCACUGACGCUCAUGCACGAAAGCGUGGGGAGCAAACAGGAUUAGAUACCCUGGUAGUCCACGCCCUAAACGAUGUCAACUGGUUGUUGGGGAUUUAUUUUCUCAGUAACGAAGCUAACGCGUGAAGUUGACCGCCUGGGGAGUACGGCCGCAAGGUUAAAACUCAAAUGAAUUGACGGGG
rnacentral:rRNA from 1 species